AGAGGUUGAUCCUGGCUCAGAUUGAACGCUGGCGGCAUGCCUUACACAUGCAAGUCGAACGGCCACGACUUCGGUCGUGGCGAGUGGCGAACGGGUGAGUAAUGUAUCGGAACGUACCUUUCAGUGGGGGAUAACGUAGCGAAAGUUACGCUAAUACCGCAUAUUCUGUGAGCAGGAAAGCAGCAAUGCGCUGAUUGAGCGGCCGAUAUCAGAUUAGCUAGUUGGUGGGGUAAAGGCCUACCAAGGCGACGAUCUGUAGCGGGUCUGAGAGGAUGAUCCGCCACACUGGAACUGAGACACGGUCCAGACUCCUACGGGAGGCAGCAGUGGGGAAUUUUGGACAAUGGGGGCAACCCUGAUCCAGCCAUGCCGCGUGAGUGAAGAAGGCCUUCGGGUUGUAAAGCUCUUUCGGCCGGGAAGAUAAUGACGGUACCGGAAUAAGAAGCACCGGCUAACUACGUGCCAGCAGCCGCGGUAAUACGUAGGGUGCGAGCGUUAAUCGGAAUUACUGGGCGUAAAGCGUGCGCAGGCGGUUUAGUAAGACAGGCGUGAAAUCCCCGGGCUCAACCUGGGAACUGCGCUUGUGACUGCUAAGCUAGAGUACGGCAGAGGGGGGUGGAAUUCCACGUGUAGCAGUGAAAUGCGUAGAGAUGUAGAGGAACACCGGUGGCGAAGGCGGCUAUCUGGACAGUGACUGACGCUGAGACGCGAAAGCGUGGGGAGCAAACAGGAUUAGAUACCCUNNAGUCCACGCCGUAAACGAUGGGUGCUAGGUGUCAGGGGCUUGACCUCUGGUGCCGUANCUAACGCAUUAAGCACCCCGCCUGGGGAGUACGGCCGCAAGGCUAAA
rnacentral:rRNA from 1 species